rnacentral:rRNA from 1 species
CCGUGAGGGAAAGUUGAAAAGAACUUUGAAGAGAGAGUUCAAUAGUACGUGAAACCGUUUAGAGGUAAACGGAUGGGACCGCAAGGUUCCCCUCGGAAUUCAACCUUCCGCUCGGCCAUCGGGCGUUCGCACGGAUCCCUUAAAGACCGGGCGGCGUUCGAGUGGUCGUCGGUGGGCGCACUUUCCGAGGGACUGUGGCCAGGACAGGUUUUCGGGUGUCCAUCAGCCCGCUUCUUCAGGUAGCUGCCCUCGGGCAGCGCUUAGGGUGGCGGGUGGGCAGCACUCGGAUACCGAGGAACGACCGCCGUGGCGCGGGCACCUCCGUCUCUCGUCCGGUUCGACUGGCUAGGACUGUUCGCAGUGCUCGCCGACCGCCGGCCGUGCAGUGCGGGGGCCAACCCGCGUCGACUCAGGGUCUCUGGCCGUUUUCGUCGGCAUCCCAUCCGACCCGUCUUGAAACACGGACCAAGGAGUCUAACAUGUGUGCGAGUCACUGGGUGGCAAACCCACGGGCGCAAUGAAAGUGAAGGUUGGCUCUGGUCGACCCAGGUGGGAUCGCGUCUCCGUCCGGGGGCGCGCGCACCACCGGCCCGUCUCGAUCUCAACGCUAGAUGAGGCGGAGCAAGAGCAUACACGUUGGGACCCGAAA